rnacentral:rRNA from 1 species
CCCCAGUAACGGCGAGUGAAGCGGCAACAGCUCAAAUUUGAAAUCUGGCCCCUCGGGCCCGAGUUGUAAUUUGUAGAGGAUGCUUUUGGCAAGGUGCCGCCCGAGUUCCCUGGAACGGGACGCCACAGAGGGUGAGAGCCCCGUCUGGCUGGCCGCCGAGCCUCUGUAAAGCUCCUUCGACGAGUCGAGUAGUUUGGGAAUGCUGCUCAAAAUGGGAGGUAUAUGUCUUCUAAAGCUAAAUAUUGGCCAGAGACCGAUAGCGCACAAGUAGAGUGAUCGAAAGAUGAAAAGCACUUUGAAAAGAGGGUUAAACAGUACGUGAAAUUGUUGAAAGGGAAGCGCUCAUGACCAGACUUGGGCUUGGCGGAUCAUCCGGCGUUCUCGCCGGUGCACUUCGCCUCGCCCAGGCCAGCAUCAGUUCGCGCCGGGGGACAAAAGCUUCGGGAAUGUGGCUCCUCCGGGAGUGUUAUAGCCCGUUGCAUAAUACCCUGGUGCGGACUGAGGUCCGCGCAUCUGCAAGGAUGCUGGCGUAAUGGUCAUCAGCGACCCGUCUUGAAACACGGACCAAGGAGUCGUCUUCGUAUGCGAGUGUUCGGGUGUUAAACCCCUACGCGUAAUGAAAGUGAACGCAGGUGAGAGCUUCGGCGCAUCAUCGACCGAUCCUGAUGUUCUCGGAUGGAUUUGAGUAAGAGCAUACGGGGCCGGACCCGAAAGAAGGUGAACUAUGCCUGUAUAGGGUGAAGCCAGAGGAAACUCUGGUGGAGGCUCGCAGCGGUUCUGACGUGCAAAUCGAUCGUCAAAUAUGGGCAUGGGGGCGAAAGACUAAUCGAACCUUCUAGUAGCUGGUUUCCGCCGAAGUUUCCCUCAGGAUAGCAGUGUUGAACUCAGUUUUAUGAGGUAAAGCGAAUGAUUAGGGACCCGGGGGCGCUAUUUAGCCUUCAUCCAUUCUCAAACUUUAAAUAUGUAAGAAGCCCUUGUUACUUAAUUGAACGUGGGCAUUCGAAUGUAUCAACACUAGUGGGCCAUUUUUGGUAAGCAGAACUGGCGAUGCGGGAUGAACCGAACGCGAGGUUAAGGUGCCAGAGUAGACGCUCAUCAGACACCACAAAAGGUGUUAGUACAUCUUGACAGCAGGACGGUGGCCAUGGAAGUCGGAAUCCGCUAAGGACUGUGUAACAACUCACCUGCCGAAUGUACUAGCCCUGAAAAUGGAUGGCGCUCAAGCGUCUCACCCAUACCUCGCCCUCAGGGUAGAAACUAUGCCCUGAGGAGUAGGCGGACGUGGAGGUCAGUGACGAAGCCUAGGGCGUGAGCCGGGGUCGAACGGGCUCUAGUGCAGAUCUU